rnacentral:rRNA from 1 species
UNUGACUUGAGUGCAGAAGGGGAGAGUGGAAUUCCAUGUGUAGCGGUGAAAUGCGUAGAUAUAUGGAGGAACACCAGUGGCGAAAGCGGCUCUCUGGUCUGUCACUGACGCUGAGGCUCGAAAGCGUGGGUAGCGAACAGGAUUAGAUACCCUGGUAGUCCACGCCGUAAACGAUGAGUGCUAGGUGUUAGGCCCUUUCCGGGGCUUAGUGCCGGAGCUAACGCAAUAAGCACUCCGCCUGGGGAGUACGACCGCAAGGUUGAAACUCAAAGGAAUUGACGGGGGCCCGCACAAGCGGUGGAGCAUGUGGUUUAAUUCGAAGCAACGCGAAGAACCUUACCAGGUCUUGACAUCCCGAUGCUAUUCUUAGAGAUAGGAAGUUACUUCGGUACAUCGGAGACAGGUGGUGCAUGGUUGUCGUCAGCUCGUGUCGUGAGAUGUUGGGUUAAGUCCCGCAACGAGCGCAACCCUUAUUGUUAGUUGCCAUCAUUAAGUUGGGCACUCUAGCGAGACUGCCGGUAAUAAACCGGAGGAAGGUGGGGAUGACGUCAAAUCAUCAUGCCCCUUAUGACCUGGGCUACACACGUGGUACAAUGGUCGGUACAACGAGUUGCGAGCCGGUGACGGCAAGCUAAUCUCUGAAAGCCGACCUCAGUUCGGAUUGGAGGCUGCAACUCGCCUCCAUGAAGUCGGAAUCGCUAGUAAUCGCGGAUCAGCACGCCGCGGUGAAUACGUUCCCGGGCCUUGUACACACCGCCCGUCACACCACGAGAGUUUGUAACACCCGAAGUCGGUGAGGUAACCUUUUAGGGGCCAGCC